AAAGACCCGCCGUAGAAGGUUAGCCAGACAGCUGCGUAGCGAGUCUUGCGUAUCCGGCGGCAACAAAGGAGACGAAGCGUAGACAGCGAAACAUUCGAGCCGAAAUCAAAUGAUGAACGUGAUAGCUCCGAAAUCCCUCUAGUUGUGUGUGCCGAUGGUGUUGGAAGACCCGCAGGCAACAGCGGCUGAAUGGUCAGACUGGCGAAUAUCCAUUUAGCAGCACACACCGGAGCCGCAGACGU
rnacentral:ncRNA from 1 species